UUCGUUAUUUGAUCAUUAUCCAACAGUUAAGCAGCAAAUUGUACUUGUUUUCUGAUGUUGUUGAUCUUUUACUACCAAUCCUAGAACCCAUGCUCAGUUAUCUCCACAUAUCUAUUUACUACAAUUUUCCUUAAAAACUGGAUCAAAAGAAGUCUGAUCAGACGAAGUUUGAUCAGACGAAGUCUGAUAAGAGGGAGAACUAUAUUGUAUGGAAAAUUGGAUCUUAGAUAAUCUGAUUAGAAGAAGAAGACUACAUAAGAGGGAAAUCUGAUAAGAGGAAGUCUGAUAAGAAGAAAACUACUUCAUAUGAAAAUCUAAUCAGAGGAAGAACUAGAUUAGAGGGAGUCUCAAUCAUAGGUAGUAUGAUCAGAAGGAAAAACAUUAUCUAAGGAAAUCUAAUUAGAGAAGUAUGGAUAAAGGAAAUAUGGAUUAGAGGAAAUCUAUAUCAGAGGAAGUCUGACUAGAUGAAGUCAAGAUGGAUAAAGUUUGAGUCAAAUAUAAUCUGAUUAGAGGAAUUCAAUAUCAGAGGAAAUUUGAUUAGGGGAAGUUUGAUUAGAGGAAAUCUGGAUCAAAUGUAAUAUGAAUAGGGGAUUUUAAUAUCAGAGGAAAUCUAAUCAGAAGAUUUUUUAUUAGAGGAAGUCUGGAUCAGAUGUAAUCUGAGUAGAAGAAAUGUAAUCAGAAGAAUUCUAAUUAGAGGAAGUCUGGAUCAGAUGUAAUCUGAGUAGAAGAAAUGUAAUCAGAAGAAUUCUAAUUAGAGGAAGUUUGGAUC
rnacentral:lncRNA from 1 species